AUACAGUAAAUUUACCUUCAGGCGUCCAACCAUAGCUGCGGCGAGAAACGGAGAGCAUUGAAUUAAGCAAUGCGGAGGAAGUGGCAGUGUGGUAUGGAAGCAUUGUCUCUACACAGCAACUCAUCUCCACUGGUGACCUUCCAAAUUCAAAGCCCACCAAGAAAAAGUUUGACCUUAAAUGCAGAAAAAAAAUAGUAUCAGUAAUAAAAAAGAGUGGUGAGGUUGAUUUUUUGGUACCUGACAAUGUGAGGGGAGAAGGGGCUUUGUUUGGAGAUGCGAAAUGGAGAAAAAGCUGGUUUGGAUCCGGCUUUCUGUGCGGAUGCCAUUCUGGCAGCGGCGGAGGUAGGACCUAGAAGCUGCGGUGGUGGACAUGGCUAUUUGGGUUUGAGCGUGAUAUUUUGCUUCGAUUGUUUUGGGCUCUGGAUUCUUGGGGUUUUGGCAGACGACGUUGUGAGUGUAUUGUGUAUGUGCUUGUACGAGGGAAACGGGUGCAGGCGGGUAGUCGCUUCUUGUUUGUUAAUGUAGUCCUUCACAUCAUCCUUUUAAUGUUUUGUUGAGAAAUUAUUAGAUACAGUCUCUCACCAAUAGGAGAAUGGGAUCCAUAAAUAUUUAUUAUGAUGAGUCUCAUUUUCAUUUGAGCGAGAGAGCAUUGUUCUGAGAAUAUCUAAUAAUCUCUUUAUCUUGUCAAUAACUGUUGGUAAUAUGAUUGGUUUUGUUGGCAAUGAACAGACAAGACAGGCUUUGUUUGGAGAGUUGCCUGCCAUGGCUGUUUCAUUGGAGAUUUGGAAGUUGAACUGGACUUAGGAUUAGAAGUGAUGAGAUAUUAUAUGCUUCACCUUUGAUUUUGGGAUUUCUUUCCACACUUUUGCAUUGAUGACUCUCCAACUUUCCUCUAGCACCCAUCUCAUUCCCAAGCUGUUGCGGAAUAAACUAUGUGUGUAAUACAAGGGCUAAGCAAAUCAGGUGCUUUAGCAAUUCGCGCAGCAGAGAAACCAGCAAGUUCUGCAGUAGGAAUUUUGAGUUUGCCACCAGCGGGACAAUGCUUUAUGGAAAUGUCAAUUGAAUAGUAAUGUUCAAUUCACAAAAAAUCCUUCUAAAUACACAAUAGAACAGAACAGGUAUGAUAAAUGCCAGUGAUGUUGUUUCCCUUUAAAUGCCUCGUCUCACGAAAAAAAAUCAUUGUCUCGACUUGCUCUUGCUUCUGCUCAUCUUUUCUAGGGUGCCAGCUAGUAAAGGAAUGCAAAUUCCAUGAGACAUAUCAGCCCUGCGUGCUCCAGAGACUUCAGAACUUGCGGCCCUAAUAGCUCUUACGGCUAUUUUUUCUUGUUCAUCUGCGUGGACUCUCCUUGGGAAGUACAAACCUCCAUUCCCUGGUCUGAUUCCAAUUAGCCGGCCCAGUGGCACACUUCUGUCUUGGAAGAAGGAUGCUGUUGACUGUAACAUAACAAACAGCAACACAAGAAUUACUUCCAGUGGAAACAACUUAAGAUGGACUUCAACGCAGCAGAGGUUCUUGGCGGUUUAUUUUGGAAGGCAAAAGGAGUUUGUUUUUUUCUUCUCAAUUUUCACAUGAUCAGUGAUUUGGUUCAAAUACUUGUUCAAAAACAUGAAAUAUGCACUGACAAGACAAUUGGAAAUAAUUAGAGCAAGAGAAGCACCGGCAAUGCAAGAACUUCUCAGGAUUCUUUUCCAUGAUCUCUA